CACAUGUCAUGUCUUGUCAGCUGGAUAUUACUUUGGGAGUGUGAAAAGCAUGACAAGGAGGGGCAACAUCCAAUCUUCUGCCCACAAUGUCAAGGAACGGGCGACGGUGCUGUCUACGAUUUGAAUGUAUUUGCUAUGGUUGAAAGGCCUACUCAGGAAACCUUGCAUGAGAUGCGCCAAUACAAGCGGAAACUCCAAGAUGCUUAUGAUGCGUGGUGGAGAAUCCUGAAAUUGUGGCUAAACCCUCCAUAGGAUUGCGCUUUCCUGAGCAUGAUUCACCACCACCACAACAGGGACCAGUUUCUCCUCUUUGCUCCAUCAAGAUUUAUAAGGCUAGUGCAUAGGUUUAAUAAACCAUGCAAAUAUAUCUAGGUCCGGUUUAUUCUCCAAAUAGGACACUUUUGGUCCGUUUGUCUUUACUGCUUGUCGUACUCAACAUGCAAUUCUAAAAAAUAGGACCCUUUUGGUCCUUUUGUCUUUAAUGCUUUUCGUACUCAACAUGCAAUUCUCAAAAUAGGACACUUUUGGUCCUUUUGUCUUUAAUGCUUUUCGAACUCAAAAUGCCAUUUGCAAAAUAGGACACUUUUGGUCCUUUUGUCUUUAUGCUUUUCGUACCCAAAUCAAAAUGGCAGGCUGCUUUAGGUUGGGCUA